rnacentral:rRNA from 1 species
GACGAACCGUGCGAACGUUGUUCGGAAUCACUGGGCUUAAAGGGCGCGUAGGCGGGCUGUUAAGUCAGGGGUGAAAGUUUUCGGCCCAACCGGAAAAUGGCCUUUGAUACUGGCGAGCUCGAGUGCGUGAGGGGUAACCGGAACGAGCAGUGUAGCGGUGAAAUGCGUAGAUAUUGCUCGGAAGGCCAACGGCGAAGGCAGGUUACUGGUGCGUAACUGACACUGAGGCACGAAAGCGUGGGGAGCAAACAGG